rnacentral:lncRNA from 1 species
GUCAGUAUUCCUGUAGGCGACCUGGAGUUGGGGGACGACAGGAGAGCAGGAACUGAUGAAGUGAUGGGCCGGCGAACAAGCAAGCCCAAUAGCAAAUGGUCCGGCGCCGAGUGGAUCCGUUGAAGGGUGGGCCGGCGCUUAAUACCUGGUUGUAAUAAAUAGUAGCACUUGUACUGAGAAAGACAGUUUUGGAAUAAAAAUACAGAACUCACCUCUCCUUCCUGGUUGUCUUCUCCCUUUCGUUUCCUCUCUGCAACGAGCAGCGUUCGCCAUCAGGUGGAGGACGCUUACAAUUGGUAUCAGAUAUCUGGUUCCGGCCCUGGCGACGACCUUCCACUACACCAAGAGGGCUAAGAUGUCGGGCGCAGCAGACCCCGGCGUUGCGGCGGCAAUAGCCGAGCAGUCCAAGUCCAUUGAGGCCCAAUCGAAGACGCUGGCGACGCAAUCAAGACUCCUGCAGCAGAUGUGCGAUCGGCUGGAGUCUACUAAGGAGCGCUGGAAGCAAUUGGAGUCUAUCGUGGGGAAGAACUCCGAGAAUAUUGCAUCAUUGUCUGCCAAAUUUGACGGGGUGGAAGGCGUUCUGCCCUGAGCGGACCUGGGGCGUGACUUACGGGCGCAUCUCGACGGCCAGAUGGCGGAGAUGCAGGCGGUUGCGAUGGAUCGUCUCGACGCGCUGGCGGCGGAUGCAUCCGGCCGUGUCGCAUCCCUAGAGAACAUCACUUCCUCCUUCGAAGCAUGGCGUCCCCGCAUCGAAGGGUCGGUCCACGACAUCUAUUCCUCCGUGGAGGGCAUCAAGGCGGAGCUCCACAAGGUCGCUCGGUUCCUGGAGCGCGCAGCGGUCGAAGAACCAGCGUCCCACGCUGGGGUACUUGGCUCAUUCGCGUCGGCAGCGGAGCGCCAACCUGCGUCCGCGAACCACACCGACGGGCCCAUGGGGCAUGGCUCUCUUCUACAUCGGGGGACUGGUUUUGGAAAUACCCAUUUCCAUCACCAUCUCCCGAACAAUGGUAUGCACGACCCUGGUCCACCUCCUCGUCAUACUUUAUUUCCACGGACAUUUGAUGCGCCCUUGGGACAUCAUACUGGGCCACAGGGGGUUGGGGAUCACCAUAGUCGGCCUCUGGGUAAUCUGCCUAAGCUCCAUUUUCCUUCCUUCGAUGGCGAAAAUCCCAAGUUAUGGCAGUCCCGAUGUGAGGCCUAUUUUCGCAUGUUUGAGUUCGAUUAUGUCAUGUGGAUUGAGGUCGCUUCCAUGCAAUUUGUGGGGCCUGCAGCUAGGUGGUUGCAGUCAGUGGAGAAUCAGUUGGGUUAUAUAUCUUGGGAGAGUUUUUGUGCUUUGAUCCGAGAGCGUUUUGCCAAGGACCAACACCAAGUUUUACUUAGACAGCUCUUCCAUAUCAGACAGUCAGGAUCGGUGUCAUCUUAUGUCGAUGAGUUUUCACAGUUAGUAGACAAACACAAUGCAUAUCAGCACAUGUCUGACCCUCUUUAUUAUACGAUGAAGUUUGUUGAUGGCUUAAGGGACGAUAUUAAGGCAGUAGUAAUGAUUCAACGUCCCAAGGAUUUCGAUACUGCUGCUGUAUUGGCUCAAUUGCAGGAAGAAGCUGGUGAGAUGAUCAAGAAACGUGAGCCUCGCCGGUGGCCUCAAAACUGGCAGUCGUCUCCAUCUAUGCAGUCCACUCAAGCACAAUCGAUGGUGCCUAAGGACUCCAAGGUGGUGCCUAAUGCGAGGAUGGAGGACAAGCGACCACAAGGGGCCCCUAAUUCUUCUACUGACUCUCGGUUAGCAUCCUUGUAUGCUUACCGCAAAGCACAAGGGUUGUGCUACAAGUGUGGACUACAGUAUGCCAAGGGUCAUAAAUGUGCUGACACUAUUCAGUUGCAAAUGGUGGAAGAGUUAUGGCAAAUGGUACCUUUGCCUGAUACUGAUGACCCCGAGAUCCUGGAGAAGGAGGACACUUUUGAGUUGAAUUCAUUCUUGUCCAAGGCUGCUGAGCAAGGAGUUCAUGCUACGCGAACCAUGCGCUUUGUGGGACAUAUUGCUGGUAUGGACGUAUUGGCCUUAUUGGAUUCAGGCAGUUCCCAUUCUUUUGUUAGUACAACAGUGGCUUCUGUCUUGCCCAAUAUUGUCGAAUUGGACAAACCUGUUAAUGUUCAGAUAGCAAACGGUUCUUACUUGUGCUGCUCCAGCCAAGCUUUGGACGCUUCCUGGUCCUUGAGUGGUGUGCCAUUCUCUUCCAACUUAAGGGUGCUGCCCCUAUCUACGUAUGACCUGAUUAUUGGUAUGGAUUGGCUCGAGGCUCACAGUCCUAUGAUGGUUCAUUGGGCACAUAAGUGGUUGACCAUUCCUAUUAAAGGAACUUAUGUAACCCUUCAUGGUCUUACUUCGUCAGUACUAUUGGAAUCAAUGGUCCAGGUCUGCACCUUGUUCGAGCUCUCUGACAAAGAACAUACUAUAUUGCAGAAGCUACCUGCUGCUAUACAGGAUUUGAUACAGCAAUAUUUUUCAGUUUUUGAUGUACCCAAAGGCAUGCCACCUGCCAGAGAGUGUGAUCAUCAAAUUCCAUUGAUACCUGGUGCUAGGCCCGUGCAGAUGAGACCCUACCGGUAUGCACCUGCUCUGAAGACAGAAAUUGAAAAUCAAGUUGCUGAAAUGUUGCAGUCAGGCAUUAUUCAGCCAAGCAAGAGUGCAUUUUCUUCUUCUGUCAUUUUGGUUAAGAAAAAGGACCAAACCUACAGGUUUUGUGUGGACUAUCGUCACCUCAAUGCUCUUACACUCAAAACAAAGUUUCCAGUGCCAGUGAUAGAUGAGUUUCUGGACGAGCUCCAUGGUGCCUGUUGGUUCUCUACUCUAGACUUGAGGGCUGGUUUUCACCAAAUCAGAAUGGACCCACAAGAUCAAUAUAAGACAGCAUUCCAAACGCAUCAUGGACACUUUGAAUUUCGAGUCAUGGCAUUUGGGUUGUCUGGGGCACCAGCUACUUUCCAAGGAGCCAUGAAUUCCACCCUAGCUCCUUUACUAAGGAAGUGUGCACUGGUGUUUUUUGAUGAUAUUUUGGUAUAUAGUAAAACCUGGGAGAGUCAUCUUGUUCAUUUGGGACAGGUCCUGCAAUUGCUUUUAACAGAUCAAUGGCACAUCAAGCUCUCCAAAUGUGCUUUUGCACAACAGCAAAUUGCUUACCUAGGCCAUGUUAUAUGCAGCAAAGGAGUGUAUACAGAUCCUGCUAAGGUUGAGGCUAUUAAAUCGUGGACUGUGCCUACUAACUACAAGGAACUCAGAGGAUUUCUUGGACUGGCUGGGUACUAUAGAAAAUUUGUCAAGCAUUUUGGCAUGAUUGCCAAGCCCUUGACUGAGCUGCUAAAGAAGGGGGUUCUGUUUGUAUGGACUCAGGAUCAUUCAGUGGCAUUUGAUACACUUAAACAAUCACUAUGUUCUGCCCCUGUCUUAGCAUUGCCUAACUUUGAAAUUCCUUUUGCUAUUGAGUGUGACGCAUCGGGGUAUGGUAUUGGUGCUGUGCUGCUACAAGAAGGUCACCCAUUGGCCUUUGUCAGUAAGGCCUUAGGACCCAAGAACCAAGGACUGUCAGCCUAUGAAAAGGAGUAUCUUGUUAUUCUCCUUGCAGUCAAUCAAUGGAGACAAUACCUACAACAUGCCGAAUUUAUUAUCUUUACUGACCACAAAAGUUUGUCUCAUUUAUCUGAACAAAAGCUCAACACUCCUUGGCAACAGAGAGUGUUCUCCAUGUUAUUGGGUCUCCAAUAUAAGGUGGUGUACAAGAAAGGGGUGGAAAAUGGGGCAGCUGAUGCCUUGUCUCGCAUGCCACCUGUUGAAUCCGCCUUGUUCAGUCUAUCUACUGCAGUUCCUCAAUGGCUACUUCAGGUUGCUGAUAGCUAUGUUCAAGAUGUUAGAGCAUCUCCAACAAUGCCUUAAACUAGUGCCUCAAAUUGAAAUAUAGGGCUCUACACAGGAAAAACCACUCCAACAGUGCCUCAAUUCAACAAAUUUUGUCAAAAAACUAUAGGGCACUCUCUCAAGUGCCUCAAAUAUACUACACUGUAGUGGGCUGCCCUAUAAUCUAGAUUUGGGGCUUUACUGUUGGAGCGGGGUGUUUUGUUGGUGCUCUAAAUUCUAUAAAAUUUACUUAUUUUUAAAUUAUAAGGCAUUUUUAUAGGUCACGUUGUUGGAGAUGCUCUUAAAGCACAAGCUCUUUUGGCUGCUCUUGCUACCAAUCAGUCUGAUUCCACCCACUACACCUUGCACUCGGGCAUUAUAUGUUAUAAAGGCAGGGUAUGGGUUGGUAAUGAUCCAAGUAUUCACAAGAACAUUAUGUCAGCACUACAUGACAACCCUCUUGGGGGGCAUUCGGGUUUUCCUGUUACUUAUCGCAAGAUCAAGCAAAUCUUUGCAUGGGCUGGAAUGAAAUCAGCAGUCAAAGAAUUUGUGGCCAAUUGUUCUGGGUGCCAACAUGUAAGUCUGACAGAAGCAAGUACCCAGGGUUAUUGCAACCCCUUCCAGUACCAGAACAGUCAUGGCAAGUGGUCGGAAUGGAUUUUGUGGAGGGACUUCCUCACUCUAAUCGUGCUGAUACAAUCCUGGUGGUGGUGGAUCAUUUUUCCAAAUAUGCACAUUUUCUACCAUUGUUGCAUCCAUUCUCUGCACUCAAGGUAGCCCAACUGUUCUUAGAUUCAGUUUACAGGCUCCAUGGCCUUCCCACAGCCAUUGUGUCGGAUCGUGACAAGGUGUUUACAAGUCAGUUUUGGCAAGAGUUGUUUCAUCUGUCGGGUACUACACUAAAGAUGAGUUCAUCAUAUCAUCCUCAGACGGACGGGCAGACAGAAAGGGUGAACCAGUGCUUGGAGACGUAUCUUCGCUGCUUUGUGCAUUCCUGUCCUUCCAAAUGGUCGGGAUGGUUGCCCUUGGCUGAGUAUUGGUACAAUACCAAUUUCCAUUCCUCUUUGGGUCGGACUCCCUUUGAAGUACUUUAUGGACAUGUUCCUCGCCAUUUUGGAUUUACAACUGAGAAUGUUCCUACUUCGGAUGCUCUUAAGUCCUAGUUAUCUGACAGAGAGUUGAUGGUGCAGCUUGUCCGACAGCAUCUCUUGCGAGCUCAACAGAGGACAAAGGCACAAGCAGAUAAGGGCAGGUCUGAUCGGGAAUUCAGUAUCGGAGAUCUUGUCUAUCUGAAGCUCCAGCCUUACGUACAGUCAUCAGUUGCUACACGGGCCAAUCAUAAGCUGAGUUUUCGUUACUUUGGACCAUACACAGUCUUACAACGAGUGGGCAAGGCUGCUUACAAGUUGCAGUUGCCCUCGACAGCGCGAAUACAUCCUGUAUUCCAUGUGUCUCAGCUUAAACAAUCCAAAGGGCACCACCAAGUUAGCACCACAUUGCCAGACAGCUUCGCUGCUCCCCGUGUUCCUCUUCAGAUUUUGGACAGGCGGGUGAUAUCUCGUAGUGGUGCCCUGCUGCCCCAAGUGCGUGUACGUUGGUCUGAGUCUGAUGAAGCGCUGGAUUCUUGGGAAGAUGAAGCAGCUUUGCACGCUCGUUUUCCAGGGGCCGACGCUUGGGGGCAAGUUGUCUGUCAACAAGAGGGGAAUGUCAGUAUUCCUGUAGGCGACCUAGAGUUGGGGGACGACAGGAGAGCAGGAACUGAUGAAGUGAUGGGCCGGCGAACAAGGAAGCCCAAUAGCAAAUGGUCCGGCGCCGAGUGGAUCCGUUGAAGGGUGGGCCGACGCUUAAUAGCUGGUUGUAAUAAAUAGUAGCACUUGUACUGAGAAAGACAGUUUUGGAAUAAAAAUACAGAACUCACCUCUCCUUCCUGGUUGUCUUCUCCCUCUCG